rnacentral:rRNA from 1 species
UACGAAGGGGGCUAGCGUUGCUCGGAAUCACUGGGCGUAAAGCGCACGUAGGCGGCUUUCUAAGUCUGGGGUGAGAUCCUGGAGCUCAACUCCAGAACUGCCUUUGAUACUGGAGAGCUUGAGUCCGGAAGAGGUGAGUGGAACUCCGAGUGUAGAGGUGAAAUUCGUAGAUAUUCGGAAGAACACCAGUGGCGAAGGCGGCUCACUGGUCCGGUACUGACGCUGAGGUGCGAAAGCGUGGGGAGCAAACAGG